AUCCGACGGCCUGGAUAGAAGCCCUAGCCGGAGCCCGAAACCUGUUUGAUGAUGGGCGAGAUGACGGCCUUGCCCCAAAACCGUCUUUCUCCUCCCGGCUGCUGGCAGUCGGUGCCCCAGUCGAGCAUCAUCCGGUUCCAGGAUGUUGUGUCUUGGAGGAUCUUGCGGUCUUCUUUCUUUACCCCCGCAUUCUUCUCAUGUUGUCUACUGCAUCAUUCUUGUGCUGGUCAUUCCCAUCCCAACUAUUGUGGCUAAUGUUGGUGAUAGUCUUGAAACUCUCCAUAGUUCCAUUAUUUGCAUUCUGUGAUAGUUUUUAUAUCGAAGUGUGAGGACAAAACAAUCUCUUUUUUUCUUUUUAAAAUUUAGUAUACUUUUGAACCUUCAUGCUUAUCUCAGGAAGCUUUGCCUCUGCUUUCAGCUGCAAGGUAUUUUGAAUGACUUUUGCUUUGUGGCUUUGUCCUGGAGGCAUAUAUUGAAGAUUUCAGGGGGAUAUCAUGUCCUGAGUUAUCUUCUGGUUGACUUAGGAUAUCAUACUACCUUACAUAUUUAAAUAAAUAUGACUGCAUAAUAUCAUUUUGUUUUUUGAUAUGGUGUGGGUCUGGAAUAGUAUGGAUUAUAUCAGACACAGAUCUGAUAAUGAAUAGAUAUUGCUUAAGUUUGUUUUGAUUCGCAGCAGGUAGGUUUAUAGCACGUUUUUUAACCUGUUAUACAUGAGACCGAAGUAGGAGAUAUAAUAGAUAAGUACUUGUGUUGAUAGUUUGAUAGUAUAGACUCGUACAGACUUUAAAGGAUUUUUGUUUGGAUAGUAUAAAUAAUAUAGAUGUGUAUGAACUUGAAAGGAGUAUCUCGACCAUGCCAUGUAGACCUCUUGUUGUUUUACAUGUUAUUUUUUAAACUAUAGCCUUAGAGGUGGUUAGACACAAAUAAAAAGAGGAGGAAGAAGAAGAAUACCUUGAGGGGUCAAACUAAAUACGACAAAGAACAGCUUUUUUGACCAAUUUGGAAGGGGAGACUAAGGCAAAAUUGCAUAUAUAUAUAUAUAUAUAUAUAUAUAUAUAUAUAUAUAUAUAUAUAUAUAUAUAUAUAUAUAUAUAUAUAUAUCAAACAUUAAAACUUUAGUAAUUCCACAUCAUUCAUUUGUUGUGUGUCAGUUUGUUUAUGUGAUUGACUCCCUCUGACUUUUUACUCCUCAUCUCAGUAGGGGUUUCCAUAUUUGAAAGACACCUUGUUUGUUCACAGUUAUGGAAGAUGACUGACUCAUCAUAUUGAACUGGAUUUUAGGAUGACUGCUGUGAGUUUAUGUAUACUAUUUUAUUAGUACUAGGAUUAUAUCACUGAUCACUGCUUUGAUGUUCACUUAUAAUAUCUUGUUUCUGUUGUGGCAAUUCUUCGACAUCAAACAUAAUUUGUAUCUGGAUCAAUUUUAGAGGUAUCUUCACUACCAAAGGAGGGACACAUACCGGUUGAGCAACCACGGAUUUUGAUUCACAGCCAACCAUGGAAGAAACUAUCCUACUAGGUGAUGACCUUAUGCUGGGGCUUCCUUCACCUAUCAUUCCCCCUGAGAUUGCAUCUCAUGUUCUUGAAGGUGUUGACUUAUGUGAUGGAGUUUUAAGGAAUCUUUUCUUAUUAAAGUGAUAGCGGAUCAUCUCAUAUGACUCUAUAGUGGCGAGUACCAGGGGCCAUCUUGUCUCCAAAGAACUAUGAUUGCUAUCAAGUCAGUGAUCUUUAUUUUGGAAAUAAAAGGGAAAGUCAUUUAGUAAAUGCCUUCGGCUUGAAAAUCAACAAUAUCGAGCCAUUUUGCCAAGAUGAGAUUGUCUUGUAUCAACAGUGUGCUGAGAAAAGGGAUAAGUAGUUAAGACAGAGGCUCUUACAUAGUGAGCAUAAGUUGGGGUUGUCCAUGCCCUUUACUGCAGCAAAGGAAAGAGCUGCUGAACUCCAAUUGGAGGUUACAUCUUUGGAAAGAUUGGAAGCUUUAAACUGGGGAAUUGUGAAAAGGAAACCUGGCAACAUCCAAGGAGAGCCUAAAGGAGAUGCAGUUAGGAAGAAAUGGAUUUUUCGGUAGAUUUGUUUGUGUUCUUGUGAUUUCUGGUAAGUAGGCCUCCAAGUGCAUGUUAGUCUGCUUUUUGACUUUCUAUAUACAAAACUCUUUAGAACUGUUCUCACUGUGCUUUUCAUUUUGAACUUGUAGAGCAAUGGUUUGCUUUGGCGUAAUUUUUUUGACCCUUUUUAUUUUUGCUUAGAAUAUGUUCUAGUUGCAACUAAUUGAGGUAUUGUACCAAAAUAAAACCAUAAUGGUUGAUGCUA